rnacentral:rRNA from 1 species
UACAGAGACUGCAAGCGUUAUUCGGAUUCACUGGGCGUAAAGGGUGCGCAGGCGGCCAAGUGUGUUAGGCGUGAAAGCCCGGGGCUUAACCUCGGAAUUGCACCUAAAACUACAUGGCUAGAGCAUUGGAGAGGGUAGCGGAAUUCACGGUGUAGCAGUGAAAUGCGUAGAUAUCGUGAGGAACACCAGAGGCGAAGGCGGCUGCCUGGACAAUUGCUGACGCUCAGGCACGAAAGCGUGGGGAGCAA